CCUACGGGUGGCUGCAGUGGGGAAUAUUGGACAAUGGGGGAAACCCUGAUCCAGCGACGCCGCGUGUGUGAAGAAGGCCUGCGGGUUGUAAAGCACUUUCGGUGGGAACGAAAUAUGCCGGGCCAAUACCCCGGCAGGCUGACGUUACCCAAUGAAGAAGCACCGGCUAACUCUGUGCCAGCAGCCGCGGUAAUACAGAGGGUGCGAGCGUUAAUCGGAAUUACUGGGCGUAAAGCGCACGUAGGCGGCAUCGUAAGUCGGAUGUGAAAUCCCCGGGCUCAACCUGGGAACUGCAUUCGAAACUGCGAUGCUUGAGUAUGGGAGAGGACAGCGGAAUUCCGGGUGUAGCGGUGAAAUGCGUAGAUAUCCGGAGGAACAUCAGUGGCGAAGGCGGCUGUCUGGCCCAAUACUGACGCUCAGGUGCGAAAGCGUGGGGAGCAAACAGGCUUAGAUACCCUGGUAGUC
rnacentral:rRNA from 1 species